UCAAUAAAUGUAAAAAUACAAUGAUGGGUGUUUUGAUUUUUUUUUUUUGAUAAUCCCUGUUUCACAUUAUGAUAGACUUGUCCAGACUGAAACCGUUGCAAAAUUUGAAAUCUCAGACAUUCAGUGCUAACCAUAAAGGAUCUAAGUGGUAUUCCAGAUUAUUUUGGAGAUAUCAUCUUGUUUUUGAAUAUUGUGUACAUUAUUGUGGAAUUUCAAAGAAAACAUUUAUCUAAAUGUGACAAGAUUGUGGAAUUGUUUGGUUGUUGUAAUUGAACUAAGAAUGACCUGAGGCAGAAAGCUAUGCAAGAAUCAUAGUAAACAGUUUCAGGAACAGCUGUAUGGAUAUGUAAAGUACAGUGAUGACCUCUCAAAAGCCAGCAAGCUCCUGUUCAGAAAACUUUAUAGUGUUGAAGAAUACAGGGGCAGGUGUUUUACUGGCAACAGUACCAACACUAAAACCGAAAUCAAGGCCAGCAUUGGAGGACACAAUAUUACUGAAAGUCCUUCAUGAGUUGAUCAAGAGAAAAUGGCCAUAAUUUUGUGACUUUUGAAGCUGUCCAGAAAUUGACAUUGACAUUGAUGUUACCAAGCGGAAUAAAUAUUGUUUUAAUAUUUAUAAUAUUUUAUGUUUUGUAUUCUACCAGUGUAACAUAUUGUGUUUAAAAAUGAUGGAGAGCGAGUUCGUCAAUAUGUCAGGGAUUUAAAG